GGGUUGUGAGGUUAAGCGACUAAGCGUACACGGUGGAUGCCCAGGCAGUCAGAGGCGAUGAAGGGCGUGCUAAUCUGCGAUAAGCGUCGGUAAGGUGAUAUGAACCGCAACAACCGACGAUACCCGAAUGGGGAAACCCAGUGCAAUCCGUUGCACUAUCAUGUCAUGAAUACAUAGUGGCAUGAGGCGAACCGGGGGAACUGAAACAUCUAAGUACCCCGAGGAAAAGAAAUCAACCGAGAUUCCCCCAGUAGCGGCGAGCGAACGGGGAACAGCCCAGAACCUGAAUCAGUUUGUGCCUUAGUGGAAGCGUCUGGAAAGUCGCGCAGUAAAGGGUGACAGCCCCGUACACAAAAAGGCACUUGCUGUGAGUUCGAUGAGUAGGGCGGGACACGUGACAUCCUGUCUGAAUAUGGGGGACCAUCCUCCAAGGCUAAAUACUCCUGACUGACCGAUAGUGAACCAGUACCGUGAGGGAAAGGCGAAAAGAACCCCGGCGAGGGGAGUGAAACAGAACCUGAAACCGUGUACGUACAAGCAGUGGGAGCACCUUCGUGGUGUGACUGCGUACCUUUUGUAUAAUGGGUCAGCGACUUAUAUUCUGUAGCAAGGUUAACCGUAUAGGGGAGCCGCAGGGAAACCGAGUCUUAACUGGGCGUUAAGUUGCAGGGUAUAGACCCGAAACCCGGUGAUCUAGCCAUGGGCAGGUUGAAGGUUGGGUAACACUAACUGGAGGACCGAACCGACUAAUGUUGAAAAAUUAGCGGAUGACCUGUGGCUGGGGGUGAAAGGCCAAUCAAACCGGGAGAUAGCUGGUUCUCCCCGAAAGCUAUUUAGGUAGCGCCUCGUGAAUUCAUCUCCGGGGGUAGAGCACUGUUUCGGCUAGGGGGCCAUCCCGGCUUACCAACCCGAUGCAAACUGCGAAUACCGGAGAAUGUUAUCACGGGAGACACACGGCGGGUGCUAACGUCCGUCGUGAAGAGGGAAACAACCCAGACCGCCAGCUAAGGUCCCAAAGUCAUGGUUAAGUGGGAAACGAUGUGGGAAGGCACAGACAGCCAGGAUGUUGGCUUAGAAGCAGCCAUCAUUUAAAGAAAGCGUAAUAGCUCACUGGUCGAGUCGGCCUGCGCGGAAGAUGUAACGGGGCUAAACCAUGCACCGAAGCUGCGGCAGCGGACGUAUCACCCAAGCAGAUUCACUGAAGUGGAUAACGAUUGACGGAGCGCAGCGACGUCAAUGCGCCAUCAAAGUCGAGUCGACUUCGGGAUACGUCCGUUGGGUAGGGGAGCGUUCUGUAAGCCGUCGAAGGUGUGCUGUGAGGCAUGCUGGAGGUAUCAGAAGUGCGAAUGCUGACAUAAGUAACGAUAAAGCGGGUGAAAAGCCCGCUCGCCGGAAGACCAAGGGUUCCUGUCCAACGUUAAUCGGGGCAGGGUGAGUCGACCCCUAAGGCGAGGCCGAAAGGCGUAGUCGAUGGGAAACGGGUUAAUAUUCCCGUACUGGGUGUUACUGCGAAGGGGGGACGGAGAAGGCUAUGUUAGCCGGGCGACGGUUGUCCCGGUUUAAGCGUGCAGGCUUGAGUUCCAGGCAAAUCCGGAACUCUUUAAGGCUGAGGCGUGAUGACGAGGCACCACGGUGCUGAAGUAACAAAUGCCCUGCUUCCAGGAAAAGCCUCUAAGCAUCAGGUAACAUCCAAUCGUACCCCAAACCGACACAGGUGGUCAGGUAGAGAAUACCAAGGCGCUUGAGAGAACUCGGGUGAAGGAACUAGGCAAAAUGGUGCCGUAACUUCGGGAGAAGGCACGCUGGCGCGUAGGUGAAGCGACUUGCUCGUGGAGCUGAAGCCAGUCGAAGAUACCAGCUGGCUGCAACUGUUUAUUAAAAACACAGCACUGUGCAAACACGAAAGUGGACGUAUACGGUGUGACGCCUGCCCGGUGCCGGAAGGUUAAUUGAUGGGGUUAUCCGUAAGGAGAAGCUCUUGAUCGAAGCCCCGGUAAACGGCGGCCGUAACUAUAACGGUCCUAAGGUAGCGAAAUUCCUUGUCGGGUAAGUUCCGACCUGCACGAAUGGCGUAAUGAUGGCCAGGCUGUCUCCACCCGAGACUCAGUGAAAUUGAACUCGCUGUGAAGAUGCAGUGUACCCGCGGCAAGACGGAAAGACCCCGUGAACCUUUACUACAGCUUGACACUGAACAUUGAGCCUUGAUGUGUAGGAUAGGUGGGAGGCUUUGAAGCGUGGACGCCAGUCUGCGUGGAGCCAACCUUGAAAUACCACCCUUUAACGUUUGAUGUUCUAACCUGGCGCCGUAAUCCGGCGUGGGGACAGUGUCUGGUGGGUAGUUUGACUGGGGCGGUCUCCUCCCAAAGAGUAACGGAGGAGCACGAAGGUCAGCUAAUCACGGUCGGACAUCGUGAGGUUAGUGCAAUGGCAUAAGCUGGCUUGACUGCGAGAGUGACGGCUCGAGCAGGUGCGAAAGCAGGUCAUAGUGAUCCGGUGGUUCUGAAUGGAAGGGCCAUCGCUCAACGGAUAAAAGGUACUCCGGGGAUAACAGGCUGAUACCGCCCAAGAGUUCAUAUCGACGGCGGUGUUUGGCACCUCGAUGUCGGCUCAUCACAUCCUGGGGCUGAAGUAGGUCCCAAGGGUACGGCUGUUCGCCGUUUAAAGUGGUACGCGAGCUGGGUUUAGAACGUCGUGAGACAGUUCGGUCCCUAUCUGCCGUGGGCGCUGGAAGAUUGAGAGGGGUUGCUCCUAGUACGAGAGGACCGGAGUGAACGCACCGCUGGUGUUCGGGUUGUCAUGCCAAUGGCAUUGCCCGGUAGCUAAGUGCGGAAAAGAUAAGCGCUGAAAGCAUCUAAGCGCGAAACUUGCCUCGAGAUGAAUCUUCCCUGACUCCUUGAGAGUCCUGAAGGGACGUUGAAGACGACGACGUUGAUAGGCCGGGUGUGUAAGCGCAGCGAUGCGUUGAGCUAACCGGUACUAAUGACCCGUGAGGCUUAACCUUACAACGCCAGAAGCGUUCUG
rnacentral:rRNA from 1 species